UGAAGCGGCAACAGCUCGAAUUUGAAAUCUGGCCUCGGCCCGAGUUGUAAUCUGUAGAGGAUGCUUUUGGCGCGGUGCCUUCCGAGUGCCCUGGAACGGGACGCCACAGAGGGUGAGAGCCCCGUAUGGUCGGACACCAAGCCUGUGUAAAGCUCCUUCGACGAGUCGGGUAGCUUGGGAAUGCUGCUCUAAGUGGGAGGUAAACUUCUUCUAAAGCUAAAUACUGGCCAGAGACCGAUAGCGCACAAGUAGAGUGAUCGAAAGAUGAAAAGCACUUUGAAAAGAGGGUCAAAUAGUACGUGAAAUUGUUGAAAGGGAAGCGCUCAUGACCAGACUUGCGCCGGGCUGAUCAUCCAGUGGUCUCCACUGGUGCACUCUGCCCGGCUCAGGCCAGCGUCGGCUGUCACGGGGGGACAAAAGCACUGGGAAAGUAGCUCUCUCCGGGGAGUGUUAUAGCCCUAUGCAGAAUACC
rnacentral:rRNA from 1 species